AGAGUUUGAUCCUGGCUCAGAUUGAACGCUGGCGGCAGGCUUCCACACAUGCAAGUCGAACGGUAACAGGAAGGAAGCUUGCUUUCUUUGCUGACGAGUGGCGGACGGGUGAGUAAUGCUUGGGAAUCUGGCUUAUGGAGGGGGAUAACUACGGGAAACUGUAGCUAAUACCGCGUAAUAUCUUCGGAUUAAAGGGUGGGACUUUCGGGCCACCUGCCAUAAGAUGAGCCCAAGUGGGAUUAGGUAGUUGGUGGGGUAAAGGCCUACCAAGCCGACGAUCUCUAGCUGGUCUGAGAGGAUGACCAGCCACACUGGAACUGAGACACGGUCCAGACUCCUACGGGAGGCAGCAGUGGGGAAUAUUGCACAAUGGGGGGAACCCUGAUGCAGCCAUGCCGCGUGAAUGAAGAAGGCCUUCGGGUUGUAAAGUUCUUUCGGUGAUGAGGAAGGUGUUUGUUUUAAUAGAACAAGCAAUUGACGUUAGUCACAGAAGAAGCACCGGCUAACUCCGUGCCAGCAGCCGCGGUAAUACGGAGGGUGCGAGCGUUAAUCGGAAUGACUGGGCGUAAAGGGCACGCAGGCGGUGACUUAAGUGAGAUGUGAAAGCCCCGAGCUUAACUUGGGAAUUGCGUUUCAUACUGGGUCGCUAGAGUAUUUUAGGGAGGGGUAGAAUUCCACGUGUAGCGGUGAAAUGCGUAGAGAUGUGGAGGAAUACCGAAGGCGAAGGCAGCCCCUUGGGAAUAUACUGACGCUCAUGUGCGAAAGCGUGGGGAGCAAACAGGAUUAGAUACCCUGGUAGUCCACGCUGUAAACGCUGUCGAUUUGGGGAUUGGGCUUAGAGCUUGGUGCCCGUAGCU
rnacentral:rRNA from 1 species